GAACCUUACCAGGGUUUGACAUGCAGGGGACCAUCCUGGAGACAGGAUUUCCUUCGGGACCGCUACACAGGUGCUGCAUGGCUGUCGUCAGCUCGUGUCGUGAGAUGUUGGGUUAAGUCCCGCAACGAGCGCAACCCCCGUCCUUAGUUGCUACCAUUUAGUUGAGCACUCUAAGGAGACUGCCGGUGAUAAGCCGCGAGGAAGGUGGGGAUGACGUCAAGUCCUCAUGGCCCUUACGGGCUGGGCUACACACGUGCUACAAUGGCGGUGACAAUGGGAUGCUAAGGGGCGACCCUUCGCAAAUCUCAAAAAGCCGUCUCAGUUCGGAUUGGGCUCUGCAACUCGAGCCCAUGAAGUUGGAAUCGCUAGUAAUCGUGGAUCAGCACGCCACGGUGAAUACGUUCCCGGGCCUUGUCACACCGA
rnacentral:rRNA from 1 species